rnacentral:rRNA from 1 species
GUCUAUGGCCAUACCACCCUGAACUCACCCAAUCUCAUCUGAUCUCAGAAGCUAAGCAGGGUUGGUCCUGGUUAGUACUUGGAUGGGAGAAGGAUCUUCAGAGAAGACUGUUCAGAGACA